rnacentral:rRNA from 1 species
CGUCGGAAUCUGGGAGGACCAUCUCCCAACCCUAAAUACUCUCUAGUGACCGAUAGUGAACCAGUACCGUGAGGGAAAGGUGAAAAGCACCCCGGGAGGGGAGUGAAAUAGAACCUGAAACCGUGUGCCUACAACAAGUUCGAGCCCGUUAAUGGGUGAGAGCGUGCCUUUUGUAGAAUGAACCGGCGAGUUACGAUAUGAUGCGAGGUUAAGUUGAAGAGACGGAGCCGUAGGGAAACCGAGUCUUAAUAGGGCGCAUUAGUAUCAUGUCGUAGACCCGAAACCAUGUGACCUACCCAUGAGCAGGUUGAAGGUGAGGUAAAACUCACUGGAGGACCGAACCAGGGCACGUUGAAAAGUGCUUGGAUGACUUGUGGGUAGCGGAGAAAUUCCAAACGAACUUGGAGAUAGCUGGUUCUCUCCGAAAUAGCUUUAGGGCUAGCGUCGAUGUUAAGUCUCUUGGAGGUAGAGCACUGUUUGGGUGAGGGGUCCAUCCCGGAUUACCAAUCUCAGAUAAACUCCGAAUGCCAACGAGAUAUAAUCGGCAGUCAGACUGCGAGUGCUAAGAUCCGUAGUCGAAAGGGAAACAGCCCAGACCACCAGCUAAGGUCCCAAAAUAUAUGUUAAGUGGAAAAGGAUGUGGGGUUGCACAGACAACUAGGAUGUUAGCUUAGAAGCAGCUAUUCAUUCAAAGAGUGCGUAAUAGCUCACUAGUCGAGUGACCCUGCGCCGAAAAUGUACCGGGGCUAAAACAUAUUACCGAAGCUGUGGAUACCUUUAUAGGUAUGGUAGGAGAGCGUUCUAUGUGCGAAGAAGGUGUACCGUGAGGAGUGCUGGAGCGCAUAGAAGUGAGAAUGCCGGUAUGAGUAGCGAAAGACAGGUGAGAAUCCUGUCCACCGUAAGACUAAGGUUUCCAGGGGAAGGCUCGUCCGCCCUGGGUUAGUCGGGACCUAAGGAGAGACCGAAAGGUGUAUCCGAUGGACAACAGGUUGAUAUUCCUGUACUAGAGUAUAUAGUGAUGGAGGGACGCAGUAGGCUAACUAAACCAGACGAUUGGAAGUGUCUGGCCAAGCAGUGAGGUGUGAUAUGAGUCAAAUGCUUAUAUCUAUAACAUUGAGCUGUGAUGGGGAGCGAAGUUUAGUAGCGAAGUUAGUGAUGUCACACUGCCGAGAAAAGCUUCUAGCGUUAAUUAUACUCUACCCGUACCGCAAACCGACACAGGUAGUCGAGGCGAGUAGCCUCAGGUGAGCGAGAGAACUCUCGUUAAGGAACUCGGCAAAAUGGCCCCGUAACUUCGGGAGAAGGGGCGCUGACUUAUGGUCAGCCGCAGUGAAUAGGCCCAAGCAACUGUUUAUCAAAAACACAGCUCUCUGCUAAAUCGUAAGAUGAUGUAUAGGGGGUGACGCCUGCCCGGUGCUGGAAGGUUAAGAGGAGUGCUUAGCAAUAGCGAAGGUAUGAAUUGAAGCCCCAGUAAACGGCGGCCGUAACUAUAACGGUCCUAAGGUAGCGAAAUUCCUUGUCGGGUAAGUUCCGACCCGCACGAAAGGCGUAAUGAUUUGGGCACUGUCUCAACGAGAGACUCGGUGAAAUUUUAGUACCUGUGAAGAUGCAGGUUACCCGCGACAGGACGGAAAGACCCCAUGGAGCUUUACUGCAGUUUGAUAUUGAGUAUCUGUACCACAUGUACAGGAUAGGUAGGAGCCUAUGACCUCGGGACGCCAGUUUCGAGUGAGGCGUUGUUGGGAUACUACCCUUGUGUUAUGGCUACUCUAACCCAGAUAGGUUAUCCCUAUCGGAGACAGUGUCUGACGGGCAGUUUGACUGGGGCGGUCGCCUCCUAAAAGGUAACGGAGGCGCCCAAAGGUUCCCUCAGAAUGGUUGGAAAUCAUUCGCAGAGUGUAAAGGUAUAAGGGAGCUUGACUGCGAGAGCUACAACUCGAGCAGGGACGAAAGUCGGGCUUAGUGAUCCGGUGGUUCCGCAUGGAAGGGCCAUCGCUCAACGGAUAAAAGCUACCCUGGGGAUAACAGGCUUAUCUCCCCCAAGAGUUCACAUCGACGGGGAGGUUUGGCACCUCGAUGUCGGCUCGUCGCAUCCUGGGGCUGUAGUCGGUCCCAAGGGUUGGGCUGUUCGCCCAUUAAAGCGGCACGCGAGCUGGGUUCAGAACGUCGUGAGACAGUUCGGUCCCUAUCC